rnacentral:rRNA from 1 species
GAUGAACGCUGGCGGCGUGCCUAAUACAUGCAAGUCGAGCGAACAGACGAGGAGCUUGCUCCUCUGACGUUAGCGGCGGACGGGUGAGUAACACGUGGAUAACCUACCUAUAAGACUGGGAUAACUUCGGGAAACCGGAGCUAAUACCGGAUAAUAUAUUGAACCGCAUGGUUCAAUAGUGAAAGACGGUUUUGCUGUCACUUAUAGAUGGAUCCGCGCCGCAUUAGCUAGUUGGUAAGGUAACGGCUUACCAAGGCAACGAUGCGUAGCCGACCUGAGAGGGUGAUAGGCCACACUGGAACUGGGACACGGUCCAGACUCCUACGGGAGGCAGCAGUAGGGAAUCUUCCGCAAUGGGCGAAAGCCUGACGGAGCAACGCCGCGUGAGUGGUGAAGGUCUUCGGAUCGUAAAACUCUGUUAUUAGGGAAGAACAAAUGUGUAAGUAACUAUGCACGUCUUGACGGUACCUAAUCAGAAAGCCACGGCUAACUACGUG